rnacentral:rRNA from 1 species
CCUGUGAGGGUUGCUGGAGGUAUCAGAAGUGCGAAUGCUGACAUAAGUAACGAUAAAGCGGGUGAAAAGCCCGCUCGCCGGAAGACCAAGGGUUCCUGUCCAACGUUAAUCGGGGCAGGGUGAGUCGACCCCUAAGGCGAGGCCGAAAGGCGUAGUCGAUGGGAAACAGGUUAAUAUUCCUGUACUUGGUGUUACUGCGAAGGGGGGACGGAGAAGGCUAUGUUAGCCGGGCGACGGUUGUCCCGGUUUAAGCAUGUAGGCUGGUUGUCCAGGCAAAUCCGGAUAAUCAAGGCUGAGGUGUGAUGACGAGGCACUACGGUGCUGAAGUAACAAAUGCCCUGCUUCCAGGAAAAG